CCUACGGGUGGCAGCAGUGAGGAAUCUUGGACAAUGGGAGAGAUCCUGAACCAGCAAAGCCGCGUGAGGGAAGACGGCCCUAUGGGCUGUAAACCUCUUUUGUCGGAGAGCAAAACCCGGGACGUGACCCGGACCGCGUGUAUCCGAAGAAAACGCAUCGGCUAAGUCCGUUCCAGCACACGCGGUAAUGCGGAGGAUGCGAGCGUUAUCCGGGUUUAUUGGGUUAAAGGGGAGCGUAGGCGGUCCGUUAAGUCAGCGGUAAAAUUGCGGGGCUCAACCGCGUCGAGCCGUUGAAACUGGCAGACUUGAGUUGGCGAGAGGUACGCGGAAUGCGCGGUGUAGCGGUGAAAUGCAUAGAUAUCGCGCAGAACUCCGAUGGCGAAGGCAGCGUACCGGCGCCAGACUGACGCUGAGGCACGAAAGCGUGGGGAUCGAACAGGAUUAGAUACCCCAGUAGUC
rnacentral:rRNA from 1 species